rnacentral:rRNA from 1 species
GACGAACGCUGGCGGCGUGCUUAACACAUGCAAGUCGAACGAAGUGGCGAACGGGUGAGUAAUACGUGGGUAACCUGCCCUCCUUUUUGGGACAAGCCUUGGAAACGGGGUCUAAUACCGAAUACAGGGGGAUGGGCUCGCGGUCUAUCAGCGGGGUGGUGGUGUGAUGGCGUACCAAGGAGGUGACGGGUAGCGGGGCUGAGAGGGUGAUCGGCGACAUUGAGACUGAGAAACGGCCCAGGCUCGUAAGGGGGGCAGCAGUGGGGGAUAUUGCACAAUGGGCGAAAGCCUAAUGCAGCGAGUCCGCAUAGGGGAUGAAGGCUUUCGGGUUGUAAACCUCUUUCGCUAUCGAAAGGGUAGGUGGAGAAGAAGCGCCGGCUAACUACGUGCCAGCAGCCGCGGUAAUAC